CAGACAUGUGCUCUUCCUAUUCUGGUUGUGGAUCCACUGAUGCUGUUGCGUCACAUUAGCAGGUAAAUAAAGACCCCUCAUACGUUUACAGUAUAGUAGCAUAAGCCAAGUAACUUAUUAAAAUUGACUGUUUAUACUUAUAAAAGAAAUGUUAAUCUUUAUAAAACGCUCCUAAUGUUUUUCAUCUUUACAUUUCGAGCAAACCUGGUCCAUUGAGCUCUCUGCCACGAUCCCUCUCUUCUA